CUCAUUUAUUCUUUCAUUUUCCAUCUUCCUUUGCCUUCAAGUGUCAAUUGGCUCCUCUCAGUCACAGCUGUACAAAUCACAGAACCCUUUUUUUUUUAAUUGGCAGAAGACAUAUACAUUAUUCAUCUAUUCAUUUCCAUCUAAUGGAAAUCCAAAAAAGACAAUUUUAUUUUCCAACAAAACAUUUAAAGCUGCUUUUCCGCCCCAUGAGAAACAGGACACAAGACUCCAUCCAUGGUCUAUUUGGAUCCUGAAUGAACAAAGUCUGGCUUCUCCUCAGAAUGAAACACACUGCUCCCAGCCAGUGAACUCAGCCUACUUUCUCCUAGUGUAAUUUUAGACUGCACAGGAAACACUCAAGACUGAAGAAGUCGGAAUGUGACCUUUUACCUGAAAUGAUACUGGCAACACUGGCAUGUGCCACCAGUGACGUGGACCAGAGCUGACAGGCACGCUUCGCUCAGCAAAGCUCCUUUUCAUUUGACCUGCUAUCUAUCCCUGUAGUUGUGCAAUGUCCUACAAUUACUUCGGACAUCAUUCAUUUUAAAACAAGGCAUACCAUACUUUUAUAAUCUACUCCUUUUAAAAGGAAUUGUAAAAAUGCUACCAUAGUUUUGUUAUCCCUGAUUGAAGAUGCAAAUCGAUUAAUGAAGUGGCAGUCCAGCAGGGUUAUCCUCACCAUAGGUGGCUACAUCAUCCUUGAAAUGCCAAUACUUUGGCCACCUGAUGCGAAGAGCUGACUCAUUUGAAGGGACCCUGAUGCUGGGAAAGAUUGAAGGCAGGAGGAGAAGGGGAUGACAGAGGUCACACAGGUGGGAUGACUCUAUUGUCAUCAAUAUGCAACUCUUCUCUUUGGCCCAGGGAAGGUUCAAUAUGGGGCUAUUUCAAAGCUGUGGAAGGCAGGUGUGAAUAGAAAAUAUUCAAUGAUUUUCAAACACAUACAAAACUCCUCACAUACCAUUGGCUAGAAAUGAGUUGCGAAGCAAACUUACUCCCAAAGAAAGCUGAGGGGAUAUAGUGACUAGGUAGGCAACCGUGUACCCUGCUAAUACUUAUGGGUGGGUUGGGGGAGGGCUGUGCAGGGGGAGAAUUGGAUAUUUUGUUAGAAAAAGAAAGAAAAAAACAGUUAUUAGUAUAACAUCACUCUCUUCCAUGUCUACCCCUCGGUCCAAUAUCCAUGUCUCCCCUUAUUUCUGCAAAUAGAUCACACAACCUAAGUGGAAUUCUAAUCUAUUGUCUUCCAUGUGAAAGAAACAGUAGCCAAAGACCUCUCUGGCCACAGCUCUUGAACCAAGAUUCCUCUUUUUUUUGUUUUUUACUAGCCUCUCUAUUUAUCCUUUCCCUCUUUGCUUCUAUUUCAUGUUGGCUACCUUUAGUGGCAGCCAUUUGAAACAGUUAAGAAGGCAGUGCCUUUUAUCCAGUCUUUGUUUCGGGCUGAUUUCCAUUUUCUGGCCAAGGAAAAUACUUAACAGAAGGUCCACAAGAAAGACCUCCAUCAUCAAACUUAUCUACUGUUGUCUGGGGACACAGAUCUUCCAACCUUUCAUGGUCCAAACUUAAGCUCUAAGAUAUAUAAGAUUGCAAUCCAUAAAUGAGAAAACCUCCCUCAUUAGAGCUAUAUUCCCUUCUAUCUCCACUUACUGACCAAUAAUUACCUGACUUCCCUUUCCUCUUAUAAUACAUUAUUAACAGUAGUGAGUGCUAAUCAAUGUAUACCUAUACUCUUAAUUGCUCUCCUUGAGCUAAAGGUCAUGAGGCCAAUGACCUGUCUUUCCAAUUAUAAUAGCUAACUGUCUUAGCAAAUGCUAUGUCACAGAGUAACAAGUGCUACCAGUGUUUCUAAAUGAAAUACUGUGCCUAUGUCACCUCUGCCUGUUGCUAUUCAAUGUCACAAAAUUCAGGGUUUUUUUAAUGCUUACAUAUCAUUUCUGGAACCAAUUUCUGUAUUAAUUGGAUACACGCUUAUUCAUUCCUUUUAAGCAAAUGUUACUGUUCAGUUGUCUCAGAUAGUUCCAAAAUUAUAUGAUUAGGGAACUUUUUGCUUUUUAACCUAGGUCUCUAGUUCUCUUCUUGUUUGUUACACAAUCUGAUGCUUAAAAAUAUUACACAGCAAUGUCCUUGAACUUUUUCAGUUGUACUGCCAGAUCCUGUGUACUUGUUUAAUUUUCACCUUUAAAUUUGUGAUGUGUUAGUUAUAGUUAUGACCAACCUAGAUAGCACUUUAAAAAGCAUUGACAUUACUUUGCCAACAAAGGUCUGUCUAGUCAA